AGAGUUUGAUUAUGGCUCAGGAUGAACGCUGGCGGCGUGCCUAACACAUGCAAGUCGAACGGGUGUACGGGGAGGAAGGCUUCGGCCGGAAAACCUGUGCAUGAGUGGCGGACGGGUGAGUAACGCGUGGGCAACCUGGCCUGUACAGGGGGAUAACACUUAGAAAUAGGUGCUAAUACCGCAUAACGGGGGAAGCCGCAUGGCUUUUCCCUGAAAACUCCGGUGGUACAGGAUGGGCCCGCGUCUGAUUAGCCAGUUGGCAGGGUAACGGCCUACCAAAGCGACGAUCAGUAGCCGGCCUGAGAGGGCGGACGGCCACACUGGGACUGAGACACGGCCCAGACUCCUACGGGAGGCAGCAGUGGGGGAUAUUGCACAAUGGGGGGAACCCUGAUGCAGCGACGCCGCGUGGGUGAAGAAGCGCCUCGGCGCGUAAAGCCCUGUCAGCAGGGAAGAAAAUGACGGUACCUGAAAAAAAAGCCCCGGCUAACUACGUGCCAGCAGCCGCGGUAAUAC
rnacentral:rRNA from 1 species